rnacentral:rRNA from 1 species
ACGAUGAAUCUUCUAGCUUGCUAGAAGUGGAUUAGUGGCGCACGCGUGAGUAAUGCAUAGGUUAUGUGCCCUUUAGUCUGGGAUAGCCACUGGAAACGGUGAUUAAUACUGGAUACUCCCUACGGGGGAAAGUUUUUCGCUAAAGGAUCAGCCUAUGUCCUAUCAGCUUGUUGGUGAGGUAAUGGCUCACCAAGGCUAUGACGGGUAUCCGGCCUGAGAGGGUGAUCGGACACACUGGAACUGAGACACGGUCCAGACUCCUACGGGAGGCAGCAGUAGGGAAUAUUGCUCAAUGGGGGAAACCCUGAAGCAGCAACGCCGCGUGGAGGAUGAAGGUUUUAGGAUUGUAAACUCCUUUUGUUAGAGAAGAUUAUGACGGUAUCUAACGAAUAAGCACCGGCUAACUCCGUGCCAGCAGCCGCGGUAAUACGGAGGGUGCAAGCGUUACUCGGAAUCACUGGGCGUAAAGAGUGCGUAGGCGGGGUAAUAAGUCAGAUGUGAAAUCCUGUAGCUUAACUACAGAACUGCAUUUGAAACUGUUACUCUGGAGUGUGGGAGAGGUAGGUGGAAUUCUUGGUGUAGGGGUAAAAUCCGUAGAGAUCAAGAGGAAUACUCAUUGCGAAGGCGACCUGCUGGAACAUUACUGACGCUGAUGCACGAAAGCGUGGGGAGCAAACAGGAUUAGAUACCCUGGUAGUCCACGCCCUAAACGAUGGAUGCUAGUUGUUGCCUUGCUUGUCAGGGCAGUAAUGCAGCUAACGCAUUAAGCAUCCCGCCUGGGGAGUACGGUCGCAAGAUUAAAACUCAAAGGAAUAGACGGGGACCCGCACAAGCGGUGGAGCAUGUGGUUUAAUUCGAAGAUACGCGAAGAAACUUACCUAGGCUUGA